UACGAACAUAACAUAAUUUUUCAUAUAACGGCAGGAAUACGGCCUGCAAGUUUCUACCAGUUUACCUCAAAUAAACUGACUAUGAAAAGCGUACGGAAUUAC
rnacentral:ncRNA from 2 species